rnacentral:rRNA from 1 species
UUCGCCCUUUUCCGGUUGAUCCUGCCGGACCCCACUGCUAUCGAGAUGGGACUAAGGUAUGCUAGUCGAACGACCAGAACUAUGUCUGGAAGUGGCACACUGCUCAGUAACACGUAGCUAACCUACCCUUAGGACGUGGAUACCCCCGAGAAAUUGGGGUUAAUCCGCGAUAGAUGUAAUGUCCUGGAAUGGUAUUACGUCUAAAGGUAUUUCAUACAUGUUUGAAAUAUGCCUAAGGACGGGGCUGCGGCCGAUCAGGCUGUUGGUGAGGUAAUGGCUCACCAAACCUUUGACCGGUACGGGCCAUGAGAGUGGUAGCCCGGAGAUGGACACUGAGACAAGGGUCCAGGCCCUAAGGGGCGCAGCAACCGCGAAACCUCCACAAUGCACUCACGUGCGAUGGGGCUAUCUCGAGUGCCACCUGAUGAAGGUGGCUUUUCCUAGGUCUUCAAAAGCCUUGGGAAUAAGAGGGGGGCAAGACUGGUGUCAGCCGCCGCGGUAACACCAGCCCCUCGAGGGGUGGGGAUGAUUAUUUGGCCUAAAGCGUCCGUAGCCGGCCGAGCAAGUCUUCCGUUAAAUCCAGCGUCUCAGGCG